rnacentral:rRNA from 1 species
GAUGAACGCUAGCGGCAGGCCUAAUACAUGCAAGUCGAACGAUAUCUUCCAGCUUGCUGGAAGAGAAAGUGGCGCACGGGUGCGUAACGCGUAUGCAACCUACCUUUAUCAGGGGGAUAGCCCGGAGAAAUCCGGAUUAAUACCGCAUAACAUCAUUGGAUAGCAUUAUUUUAUGAUCAAACAUUUAUGGGAUAAAGAUGGGCAUGCGUGUCAUUAGCUAGUUGGCGGGGUAACGGCCCACCAAGGCGACGAUGACUAGGGGAUCUGAGAGGAUGGCCCCCCACACUGGUACUGAGACACGGACCAGACUCCUACGGGAGGCAGCAGUAAGGAAUAUUGGUCAAUGGAGGGAACUCUGAACCAGCCAUGCCGCGUGCAGGAAGACUGCCCUAUGGGUUGUAAACUGCUUUUAUCCGGGAAUAAACCUGAGUACGUGUACUUAGCUGAAUGUACCGGAAGAAUAAGGAUCGGCUAACUCCGUGCCAGCCGCCGCAGUAAUAC